AUCGCUUCAGCUGUCCCAUGCUGGGAGGGCACGUCUUAAUUUUAUCCCUUUUUGACGAUGGGUGACUCUGUGCUACGGCUCGGUUCUGUCUCUCAGUCUGAGAACAGAGUGGUGGUGGAGAGAUUCAUUUUCACUUCUCUACAUUUCCUGGAGGGAUGCAAGGAGGAUGGAGUGGGGCAGAGCAUCUGCCCUUCUGGCUGUGCCUUCAUUCACACUGCCCGGGUAAAAAUGACCCAUGGAGGAUCCAAAAAGUCAUUAAUCUCGUAUUACUCCUGCUGCUGUCCAUAUCGAUAGGUCCCAUGGAAGCUGGGGAGCCCCUUCAGCAUGCCAAAAAGCCCAACACCACAGCAGGAAAAUCCACGGCAAGGUGCUGGUUUCUCCUUACCCAGCUGCCUCCUGCAUCCCUGGGCUCCAGCAUCUGCCGCGGGCAGGCGGCCGGGCGACUCCAUCCCCUUGGCGACCCAUGGGACCACAGGGGACACGAGCCGAAACACACUGAACCUUGAAACUAAAGAAGCCUCAAACCUGUCAUUAAAGCAGCUGCAUUGGCAAUAAAUUUAGUAUUUAAAGAAGUUCGUCGACUGUUUAAAAUGCAGCGAGAGUAGCUAUGGGAACAACUUCAACAGGGUUUUAUCGUGCUGAAACGUGACCCUGUAAAGACAUGCAGAAAGGCUCCUGGAAGCACUGACACUUUUUCUCUCAAAGGAAAGAGUUAAGCCUGUUUCAGAUCGGCUAGCAAAAUGAACCAGGAGCAGUCAGGCAGCUCAGUUACAGGCUGUAAAUAUAAAUGAAAAUGCAUUGGCUUUGUGAGAUUGCAGGGGGGGAAACAAAACAAAACAAAACACGACAAACACAACAGACUGUAAAUUUAGAUCUGGGAUAUAAACAAAGUGCUUUUUCUUUUGAAACAUUUGGAAAAUACAUUGAUGUUAUCUGAAUAUAUGACAGUAGAAGUAGUGGUAAUAACAUGUUUUAAAAACUGAAAAAGGUGAAAAAAUGCCAUGUAAGGCUUUUGGGAAACAAAACACUUUUCUUAGUGAAAGGAGCAGGAAUAAAGGGAAAACUGAAAAUAUUUAUCUUUCCGAUAAAUAAAAAGGAUACUUUUUGCUUUUCAUCUUCUUAGUUGACUUUCAAUCCCUAUUUGUAAGUCUUUUUAUCUUCCCCAGUUCAGCUCAUGCAGUGUUCACGUCGAUAUUCUUUGCUUUCACCACCCCACCUUCAUGGCAAGCAAGGAGAAGCUCAGCUGGUGGAGGUGAUGGAGCAGUGCCUCAAACACAAGAUAAAAGAUAAGGAGACCUGCAUGCCUCUCCUGACCUACCAGGGGCUCUUUCUUCUCCUGAUGUGGGAAACGUUCACGAAGUAGCUGCAUUGGUUUUCUCAUGCUCAGCUUUCCGUGUUGUGAUGUCUAAUGAGGGGCUGAGUGUGGCAAAACCAGACACUGCUCCUGAAACCCUUCUGUGUGCCCCUGGCUGAAUAUUCCUACCUGUGAGCACCCAG